rnacentral:pre_miRNA from 1 species
CCCACACCCAUGUGUGUAGGACCCCAAAGGAUCACCAUUAAAUUUGGCACAGAUCUUUAGAAAAGUUAUUACAUGGGUGUGGGCAUUGACUUUUCUAGAGAUCUGUGCCAAAUUUAAUGGUGAUCCUUUCGGAUCCUGCGCACAUGGGUGUGGG